rnacentral:rRNA from 1 species
GAGUUUGAUCGUGGCUCAGAUUGAACGCUGGCGGCAUGCCUUACACAUGCAAGUCGAACGGCAGCAUGAUCUAGCUUGCUAGAUUGAUGGCGAGUGGCGAACGGGUGAGUAAUACAUCGGAACGUGCCCUGUAGUGGGGGAUAACUAGUCGAAAGAUUAGCUAAUACCGCAUACGACCUGAGGGUGAAAGUGGGGGACCGGCAAGGCCUCAUGCUAUAGGAGCGGCCGAUGUCUGAUUAGCUAGUUGGUGGGGUAAAGGCCCACCAAGGCGACGAUCAGUAGCUGGUCUGAGAGGACGAUCAGCCACACUGGGACUGAGACACGGCCCAGACUCCUACGGGAGGCAGCAGUGGGGAAUUUUGGACAAUGGGCGAAAGCCUGAUCCAGCAAUGCCGCGUGUGUGAGAA